AGCGAACGCUGGCGGCAGGCCUAACACAUGCAAGUCGAACGAAGUCUUCGGACUUAGUGGCGGACGGGUGAGUAACACGUGGGAACGUACCUUUUGGUUCGGAACAACUCAGGGAAACUUGAGCUAAUACCGGAUGAGCCCUUAGGGGGAAAGAUUUAUCGCCGAAAGAGCGGCCCGCGUUAGAUUAGCUAGUUGGUGAGGUAAAGGCUCACCAAGGCUACGAUCUAUAGCUGGUCUGAGAGGAUGAUAAGCCACACUGGGACUGAGACACGGCCCAGACUCCUACGGGAGGCAGCAGUGGGGAAUCUUGCGCAAUGGGCGAAAGCCUGACGCAGCCAUGCCGCGUGAAUGACGAAGGUCUUAGGAUUGUAAAAUUCUUUUACCAGGGACGAUAAUGACGGUACCUGGAGAAAAAGCCCCGGCUAACUUCGUGCCAGCCGCCGCCGUAAUAC
rnacentral:rRNA from 1 species